rnacentral:misc_RNA from 1 species
AAGUCGUAACAAGGUUUCCGUAGGUGAACCUGCGGAAGGAUCAUUACCGAGUUAGGGUCCUGCCCCUUCGGGGGCGCCCGAACCUCCCAACCCUUUGUUUACUGGACCACUGUUGCUUCGGCGGACCGGUCUCUUCAAACCAGACCGCCGGAGGGGGCUUGAUUGUUUUCCCCCUCUGGAGAGUUUCGUCCGCCGACGGCCCCAACCCAACCAAAAUUCUUGUACCAAUCGUGAAGCCUGAAUAUAGUGAUGUACAAUGUACAAAAACAAAACUUUCAACAACGGAUCUCUUGGUUCUG